CAGCCGCCACGGGAAUACGUAGGUGGCAAGCGUUAUCCGGAAUUAUUGGGCGUAAAGCGCGCGUAGGCGGUUUUUUAAGUCUGAUGUGAAAGCCCACGGCUCAACCGUGGAGGGUCAUUGGAAACUGGAAAACUUGAGUGCAGAAGAGGAAAGUGGAAUUCCAUGUGUAGCGGUGAAAUGCGCAGAGAUAUGGAGGAACACCAGUGGCGAAGGCGACUUUCUGGUCUGUAACUGACGCUGAUGUGCGAAAGCGUGGGGAUCAAACAGGAUUAGAUACCCCCGUAGUCCCUGUCUCUUAUAC
rnacentral:rRNA from 1 species